rnacentral:misc_RNA from 1 species
CUUCUUUUUGGGCAGUAUCGCUUUGGUCUGUCUUGGGUUUGGAAUUUGUGGCGUUGUUGAGGAGUCUGGGGAUAUGGGUGCUGUCGUUGAGGUCACCAAAAUGUAGUUUAGUACAGCCAUUGGAGGAGUUGUUAGAGAUGUGCGUCAGGCGAAAAUGCUGCAAAACUUGGAUCCUUUAGUCGCUCAGCCGGUGGUGGUGGCCACUAGUUUGACGCGUAUCUGUGUUUUCUGGUGAACUUGGAUAUUUUAC